rnacentral:rRNA from 1 species
CUCCCGGCCCUGCCCUCACGGGCGGAGCGCCCGCCGGAGGAUACCAAACUCUAUUUUAACGACGUUUCUUCUGAGUGGCACAAGCAAAUAAUUAAAACUUUCAACAACGGAUCUCUUGGUUCUGGCAUCGAUGAAGAACGCAGCGAAAUGCGAUAAGUAAUGUGAAUUGCAGAAUUCAGUGAAUCAUCGAAUCUUUGAACGCACAUUGCGCCCGCCAGCAUUCUGGCGGGCAUGCCUGUUCGAGCGUCAUUUCAACCCUCAAGCUCUGCUUGGUGUUGGGGCCCUACGGUUGACGUAGGCCUCUUAAAGGUAGUGGCGGACCCUCUCGGAGCCUCCUUUGCGUAGUAACUAACGUCUCGCACUGGGGAUUCGGAAGGGACUCUUGCCGUAAAACCCCCAAAUUUUUAAAGGUUGACCUCGGAUCAGGUAGGAAUACCCGCUGAACUUAAGCAUAUCAAUAG